rnacentral:rRNA from 1 species
AGUGAACGCUGGCGGUAGGCCUAACACAUGCAAGUCGAACGGCAGCACAGUAAGAGCUUGCUCUUACGGGUGGCGAGUGGCGGACGGGUGAGGAAUACAUCGGAAUCUACUUUUUCGUGGGGGAUAACGUAGGGAAACUUACGCUAAUACCGCAUACGACCUACGGGUGAAAGCAGGGGAUCUUCGGACCUUGCGCGAUUGAAUGCGCCGAUGUCGGAUUAGCUAGUUGGCGGGGUAAAGGCCCACCAAGGCGACGAUCCGUAGCUGGUCUGAGAGGAUGAUCAGCCACACUGGAACUGAGACACGGGCCAGACUCCUACGGGAGGCAGCAGUGGGGAAUAUUGGACAAUGGGCGCAAGCCUGAUCCAGCCAUACCGCGUGGGUGAAGAAGGCCUUCGGGUUGUAAAGCCCUUUUGUUGGGAAAGAAAAGCAGCAGGUUAAUACCCCGCUGUUCUGACGGUACCCAAAGAAUAAGCACCGGCUAACUUCGUG